GGCGAACGGGUGAGUAACACGUGAGCAAUCUGCCCAUCACAUCGGGAUAACUCCGGGAAACCGAAGCUAAUACCGAAUACGACCACUUCAGGCAUCUGACGGUGGUGGAAAGUUCCGGCGGUGAUGGAUGAGCUCGCGGCCUAUCAGCUAGUUGGUGGGGUAACGGCCCACCAAGGCUUCGACGGGUAGCCGGCCUGAGAGGGUGACCGGCCACACUGGGACUGAGACACGGCCCAGACUCCAUACGGGAGGCAGCAGUGGGGAAUAUUGGACAAUGGGCGAAAGGCCUGAUCCAGCAACGCCGCGUGGGGGAUGACGGCCUUCGGGUUGUAAACCUCUUUCAGCAGGGACUGAAUGCGGAAGUGACGGUACCUGCAGGAACGAAGCGCCGGCCAACUACGUGCCAGCCGCC
rnacentral:rRNA from 1 species